rnacentral:rRNA from 1 species
UACGAAGGGGGCUAGCGUUGCUCGGAAUUACUGGGCGUAAAGCGCACGUAGGCGGAUAUUUAAGUCAGGGGUGAAAUCCCAGAGCUCAACUCUGGAACUGCCUUUGAUACUGGGUAUCUUGAGUAUGGAAGAGGUAAGUGGAAUUGCGAGUGUAGAGGUGAAAUUCGUAGAUAUUCGCAGGAACACCAGUGGCGAAGGCGGCUUACUGGUCCAUAACUGACGCUGAGGUGGCGAAAGCGUGGGGAGCAAACAGG